UUCUUCUCAUUAACUCUUUGGCCAUAUCGCCAAGCCGGGUCUUUCUCUUUCGAACUUUGAGACAUUUAAUUAUCCCUAUUAAGAUAUAAGAUAAAAAAUAAUUAAUAAACUGAAAAUACAUAUAAUAUAUACAAUAAUUAAUGAUAUAAAGUUAUAAACUGAAAUAUACAUUUAAAAAAUCACAUAAAUUAAAAAUAAUACAUAUAUAUAAUUAAUUUUAUAUGCUGAAAUAUAAUAAUAAUUUAAUUUUAUAUGCUGAAAUAUUAUAAUAAAUGAAAUACAUAUAACAAUUAAAUAUAUAUAUAUAUAUGCUGAAAAUGUACAAUACACAAACGAAAAGGAAAAAAAAAUUUGUUCCUUCCCCUGACUGUAUAGAGUCGAAACAGAGAAAGAAAGAGAGAAGAAGAAAAAUGAAGAAGAGGAAGACCAGUCUGACGUCGAUUAGUCUGAAGAAGAAAGCAGAAGAAAGAAAAAUAAAAAAAACGAGAAGAAAAGAGAAGAAAUUACCUGGGUUGGUUCUUGGUUGACUGAUCGUGCACGGAAGAAGAAGAAGAUAACCCUAGCUUUUCUUUUUUUGACAACCGAAGAAGAUCGAGCCUCUAGCUUCUGGAGAAAGAGGGUUUUGUCAAUUUAGGCUAUGUUUUUUCAGACCCCAAAGUUCUUUUUUUUUUAAACAAAGACCCCUGCCUGCGCUUUCUUCAAUUAACCGAUCACUUUUGCGCUUCGAUCGCCUCUGCGCUUCUGCCAUGGAAGCGAUCGCUUCUCUAGGUCGCUUCGCUUCAGCCUGCAAAAAAAGGAUUGAUGGUCGCUUCGCGCUUUAAGCGAUGAAGCGACCGCUUUUCAAAACACUGGUUGGUGAUAUUACCAAUCACUGAUCAUUGAGAGAUUGGAACCAAAACUCUUGGCUUCAAACCUUAUUGGCAUCGCCUACUUGUUAUAUGGGCUUUUGUUAAAUUCUGUUAAGGAU
rnacentral:lncRNA from 1 species